rnacentral:rRNA from 1 species
UACGGAGGGUGCAAGCGUUAUCCGGAUUCACUGGGUUUAAAGGGUGCGUAGGCGGGCAGGUAAGUCAGUGGUGAAAUCUCCGAGCUUAACUCGGAAACUGCCAUUGAUACUAUUUGUCUUGAAUAUUGUGGAGGUAAGCGGAAUAUGUCAUGUAGCGGUGAAAUGCUUAGAUAUGACAUAGAACACCAAUUGCGAAGGCAGCUUACUACCGAAUAUUGACACUGAGGCACGAAAGCGUGGGGAUCAAACAGG